CCUAUGCAAUAACCAAGAAAUGGUUAGAAUUUUGACCAAUAAACGAAAGAAAUUAUUCAUGUCCGCCAUUUUAGAAACAUUCUUCGACAAAGCCACAUUCCCACAUUGGUACUAUAGUUUAUUUUUAAUUUUUCAGUAGUUUUAUCAAAAUUAAAACAUACAACAUACAUGAAUUUAAUUCCUAGUGCCCACUCAGUACAGAACAGAAUCAAUCCGAUUCCACCAAAAAGCCCCUGAUGCCUGCUGGUAAUCGUUGCCGGAGUUGCUUAGUCGCAAUACCGUUAAUCCGGCUUCUUAUUGCAUGGAUCGGUUCCAAAUCAGGCCGCUGGACACGACGAAUUGCAGACAGCACUCAACGAGGCCUUCCAGAAAAAUACCGGGUUGGGGUUAAGCACUCCAAAUGGGCGCACUGGAUGGUGGAUAAGUUUUCUGAUCCGGACGAUGACGAUGGAUCGCCAGGCGAUCCGGAAUUUCCUCUUCACCUGUGUUGUCCGAACGGGACUGUUUGAACUGGUCAUCUUGAGGAGGCUUCAACUAUCAGCUGUCGACAUGAAAUUUCGAAAACGAUAGUACCGAAAAUAAAUUAGAUUCGAACAAAUUUUACAUUCCGGGACGGGAUGCAUGUAGCCAGAUUCAGAUCGGGCGGAAAAAAUUGUGGAACAGCGGAUCGGAGCCGAAUCGGAGCACAGCAGUUUUACGAGAAGCCUGAGGUUGAAGCGAACGAGGAGUCGAAAAAAUAGUACAUUGCUCUAGGGUCUAGGGCAGCGGUCUGUGCGGUACUAUUUACAGUGUUGUUGUUUGUUUGUUCGCGGCGAUCUCCCCAACAAUCUCAGUCUCGGGUCAUCUGCGUCGCUGGUAAGUCAUGGCACGGGACUUGCAUCGUCUGUACAGCAAGAACACUCGGAACUUUAUUCGGAAGAGGAUGACGGCCCCCGUAUGACGGCUAUGAACAACGCUUCCAA